AUUGUAGAAAACGACACAAUAU
rnacentral:miRNA from 1 species